rnacentral:rRNA from 1 species
UAGCGGAGGAAAAGAAACCAACAGGGAUUGCCUUAGUAGCGGCGAGUGAAGCGGCAAAAGCUCAAAUUUGAAAUCUGGCACUUUCAGUGUCCGAGUUGUAAUUUGAAGAAGGUAUCUUUGGGUCUGGCUCUUGUCUAUGUUUCUUGGAACAGAACGUCACAGAGGGUGAGAAUCCCGUGCGAUGAGAUGACCCAGACCUAUGUAAAGUUCCUUCGAAGAGUCGAGUUGUUUGGGAAUGCAGCUCUAAGUGGGUGGUAAAUUCCAUCUAAAGCUAAAUAUUGGCGAGAGACCGAUAGCGAACAAGUACAGUGAUGGAAAGAUGAAAAGAACUUUGAAAAGAGAGUGAAAAAGUACGUGAAAUUGUUGAAAGGGAAGGGCUUGAGAUCAGACUUGGUAUUUUGUAUGUUACUCUUUCGGGGGUGGCCUCUACAGUUUACCGGGCCAGCAUCAGUUUGGGCGGUAGGAGAAUUGCAAAGAAAUGUGGCACUGCUUCGGUAGUGUGUUAUAGUCUUUGUCGAUACUGCCAGCCUAGACUGAGGACUGCGGCUUCGGCCUAGGAUGUUGGCAUAAUGAUCUUAAGUCGCCCGUCUUGACCACG